AUACGGGAGGCAGCAGUAAGGAAUAUUGCGCAAUGGGCGAAAGCCUGACGCAGCGACGCCGCGUGGGGGAUGAAGGUCUUCGGAUUGUAAACCCCUUUCGGGAGGGAAGAUGGAGCGAGCAAUCGUUCGGACGGUACCUCCAGAAGCAGCCACGGCCAACUUCGUGCCAGCAGCCGCGGUAAUACGAAGGUGGCAAGCGUUGUUCGGAUUCACUGGGCGUACAGGGUGUGUAGGCGGUUUGGUAAGCCUUCUGUUAAAGCUUCGGGCCCAACCCGGAAAGCGCAGAGGGUACUGCCAGGCUAGAGGGUGGGAGAGGAGCGCGGAAUUCCCGGUGUAGCGGUGAAAUGCGUAGAGAUCGGGAGGAAGGCCGGUGGCGAAGGCGGCGCUCUGGAACAUACCUGACGCUGAGACACGAAAGCGUGGGGAGCAAACAGGAUUAGAUACCCCGGUAGU
rnacentral:rRNA from 1 species